GGGCAACCUUUACUGCAGUUGCUCUCAAUCUAAAGAUGCAUGAACUAAAGAACCAAGUUUUCUUCUCCAUACUCAUCCAGCAUACAAUGGCAAGACAGGGCCAUGGCCACUGCAUUAGUUGUUGGAGUUGUGAGACUUACUGAAGCUUUGUCUGGAUUCCAGUAUUUUCAGGAGCAAACAAAGGAAUAAUGGUGCAAUUUUGGCAUAUUUGAAGAAACUUGUCAAGUUUUUUGAAGGAGCUGGCUUGGUUCACUCUUCAGGUGGUGUUCAGUCCCGGAAGAAUCACACCACAUAAUGCUGACACUGGGGGUACGUUGGCUCUCACGGAAAAGGUAUCAUAAAAUCUUAUACCUGUUUUCCCGACCGCCCAGUGAUGACUGUACUUUUCCUGA